AAGAGAAUGAUUAAACAAUUAAAAGCUUUCUUUAAUUGAAUAAUUGAAUUUAAUUUUUUAGUGCAAAAGCAAAAAUAAAAAUUAGGGACAAGAAGACCCUAUGAAUUUUUUAUUAAAUUUUAUAUAAAGUUUUAUAAAAUUUAAUUUAAUUGGGGUGAUGGAAAAAGAAUAAAUAUCUUUUUUUUUAAAAAAAAAUUGGUUCCGUUUUUAGCGAUUAAAUGAAAAAAAUACUCUAGGGAUAACAGCGUAAUAAUUUUGGAUAGUUCAUAUAGAUAAAAUAGUUUGCGACCUCGAUGUUGGAUUAGGAUUCUUUUUUGGUGAAGAAGUUAAAAAAAGAAGUUUGUUCAACUUAUAAUUUCCU
rnacentral:rRNA from 1 species